UGAACGCUGACGGAAUGCUUAACACAUGCAAGUCAACCGGGACCUUUCUUCGGAGAGUAAACGGUGGCGGACGGGUGAGUAACGCGUGAGAAACUUGCCCCAUAGACCGGGAUAACCAUUUGAAAAGAUGGCUAAUACCAGAUAAGCCCACAUUACCGCAUGGUAGAGAGGGAAAAUGAAUGCGCUAUGGGAGAGUCUCGCGUCCUAUUAGCUAGUUGGUGAGGUAAUGGCUCACCAAGGCGACGAUAGGUAGCCGGCCUGAGAGGGUGAACGGCCACAAGGGAACUGAGACACGGUCCUUACUCCUACGGGAGGCAGCAGUGGGGAAUAUUGGACAAUGGGGGAAACCCUGAUCCAGCAAUUCCGCGUGUAUGAUGAAGGCUUUCGAGUUGUAAAGUACUUUCAAUGGGGAAGAAGAAAAUGACGGUACCCAUAGAAGAAGCACCGGCUAAUUAC
rnacentral:rRNA from 1 species